GGGCCGUUAGCUCAGUUGGUAGAGCAGCUGACUCUUAAUCAGCGGGUCGCAGGUUCGAAUCCUGCACGGCUCA
rfam:Nitrospirae bacterium GWF2_44_13 gwf2_scaffold_28, whole genome shotgun sequence.